GCGCGACAACGUUAGUCAAAUUAAAAUGGUGUUCUUUUGAACAUUUCUUUCUUGUAUUCGUCUCGAUUUACUUAUUACGUUUUUAGAGUCUUUUGAGUUGCUUGCGUUCGUGCGUCUAUCGAACGUGUACCACGAAAUUCCUUGAACAAAAAAAUCUCUGACGUGAGGAAGGCAACAGCGACAGUUGUCGUGCAUAUUAUGCGUAUGCAUAUUUAUAUCACAGUACAAAAAUACUGUGAGAAAAUAUAGUAUAAUAAAUAUUCUUAAUAGGAAAGAAAAGGUUUCCUUUCUCACGUUUACAAUGUGUUUUUUUUUCUUUUUUUUUUUCAUUUUUUGUUGGUUAUUCGUUAGCAACUCUUUUCCUAUUAUCAGACAAUUUCUUACAACGACAAAGUAGAGUAAUUCGAGUGUGAGUGGAAUCACGCGCCAUUAACCUGACAACCGGGCGAUUUCUAUAAAUCCAAGAAUGAUUACGCCUCUCGAAUGCAUAAUCCACCACUGCCACUGCAUCUCGAAAUGAGCGGAAACAUUUCGAAACGAAAAGGGAGGGAAAAGAAGAGAGAAAGUUACGACGACUUCAUAUCUGUAUAACGUAAAAAGCCGUACUCUCUUUACGGUUACGCCAAGGUUUCAACUUAUCAAGGAAGUUAAAAUGAAAAAUCGCGAUAAUUACAACUUGCCGGGCGACCGCAGUGUAACGCUAAUUACGAUCAAUCGGAUUGUUGCUUGAGGCUUUCGAAAUUCCGGAAGUGACGUAGAAACAAGGGGAACGACGCUAGUUUACUGCGGACAGAACAGCGGCGCUUUGGAAUCGUGAAAGAAAGAAUCAAGAGGCGCAGCACGUGCUAAUCGUCGACUUUAUAUGAAGAAAGAUGAAUUCGAUACAUAGGAAAAGUCGGAGCCACUGUCGAUGUUCUCGUCGCUUUCGUUUUCUUUUGUCGAUCAAUGGAAAUUGAGUUUUCGUGUUGCAUGCUCGCGCAGAGUCUUGCUUCGUUCUGAUCCGCGUGACAAAACGUUUUUCCUCUCCGUCGAGCUAACUCAUUCUCCGUAAUCGAUGCCAUCUCUUCCGAUCUAGCGAAGAGUCUUUCGGCGUUUUAAUAUCUUUCUAACAGCAACGAUUAUAUCCGUGUUUAUGUAUUUAUACUGCGGGAUAAAAUUAAUUGUUCACCUUGUGUGAUUGUUUACGCGUCCCAAAACCACCCGGUUAACAAAUUGUAAGAUUUUUUAAUUAUAAGAUCGACACUUCUCCGAAAGGUUCCCUGUGAAUUUCUCAGGCAAUUCGUGUUAAGGCAGUUAGUAUAUUAUCUUUUUUUUUGUUCCUUUUUUGUUUAGUGGCUUUUUUCAAGUUUUCUUUUCUUCUUUUCUCGCAGUGUUAAUUGUUAAUUCACGAAUCGCAAAGUACACGGGAAUACGAUUAAUAAGGGAUCAGACAGAAAUUCAACGAAAGAUCCAGGAGGGUGAGAAAGAGAGAUAUAUAUAUGUAUAUAUAGAAAGAGAGAGAGAGAGAGAGAGAGAGAGAGAGAGAGAGAAACGAAACGUUUCGUCUUUUAACACCUUUGGUUAUUCGUAACGUUAAUAUAAUUAUAAAUUCGAUUCCGAAUUUGAACGUUCAAAAAAGCCGGAACACGCGAGAGCAUGUAAAGACAAUUAAAAAAUAAUCAUAAUAAUGAAAAGUCACACGCUACAUACUUUAUAUAAUUUUUUAUCAGUUUAUAUGUAUAUGUAUAAGUGUGUAUAUAUAUAUAUAUAUGUAUAAUUUUACUUUGUUGUUUUCAUCAUCCACGUCUGGCAGAUACACCCACAAAAGAAAAAGUUAAAGCAACAUAAGAUGAGAAAUUAAUACAAAGAAAAAUUAAUUACAAAACGAAAUGUACACAAAUGGAUUAACGAGGAAACC